AAACUUUACACUGCGGGAAACCGCGAUAAGGGGACCCCGAGUGCCAGCACCUAGUGCUGGCUGUCCUACUGUCUAAAUAACAGUGGUUAGCAAGGGCCGGGCAAGACCGGUGCCAGCCGCCCGGUAACACCGGCGGCCCGAGUGGUAACCGCCUUUAUUGGGUUUAAAGGGUCCGUAGCCGGCUUAUUAAGUCUUUUGGGAAAUCUGGCGGCUCAAUCGUCAGGCGUCCAAGAGAUACUGUCAGACUUGGAACCGGGAGAGGUAAGAGGUACUA
rnacentral:rRNA from 1 species